UACGUAGGGUGCGAGCGUUAAUCGGAAUUACUGGGCGUAAAGCGUGCGCAGGCGGUUCGUUGUGUCGGCGGUGAAAUCCCCGGGCUCAACCUGGGAAUGGCCGUUGAAACUGGCGAACUGGAGUGUGGCAGAGGGGGGUGGAAUUCCGCGUGUAGCAGUGAAAUGCGUAGAUAUCGAGAGGAACACCAGUGGCGAAGGCGAGUCUCUGGACAUUUCCUGACGCUGAGGCACGAAAGCCAGGGGAGCAAACGGG
rnacentral:rRNA from 1 species